rnacentral:rRNA from 1 species
GUAGGUGGCAAGCGUUGUCCGGAAUUAUUGGGCGUAAAGCGCGCGCAGGCGGGUCCUUUAAGUCUGAUGUGAAAGCCCACGGGCUCAACCGUGGAGGGUCAUUGGAAACUGGGGGACUUGAGUACAGAAGAGGAAAGCGGAAUUCCAAGUGUAGCGGUGAAAUGCGUAGAGAUUUGGAGGAACACCAGUGGCGAAGGCGGCUUUCUGGUCUGUAACUGACGCUGAGGCGCGAAAGCGUGGGGAGCAAACAGGAUUAGAUACCCUGGUAGUCCACGCCGUAAACGAUGAGUGUUAAGUGUUAGGGGGUUUCCGCCCCUUAGUGCUGCAGCUAACGCAUUAAGCACUCCGCCUGGGGAGUACGGCCGCAAAGGCUGA